rnacentral:lncRNA from 1 species
CAAGAGAGAAGCAGAAGCCACCAUGGUUUUUUAUGCCGUUGUUGACCUAGCCCCCAAAGUGACAUAUUAUUACACAGAUAUGUAGCCAACCUGUGGGUCACUGAUACGGUUUGGAUGUGUGUCCCCUCCAAAUCUCAUGUUGAAAUGUGAUUCUCAGUGUUGGAAGUGGGGCUGGUGAUAGGUGUUUGGUUCAUGAGGGUAGAUCCCUUAUGAAUGGCUUGGUGCUGUCUUUGUGGCAAUAAGUGAGUUCUCACUAUCUGAGUUCACACAAGAGCUGGUUGUUUAAAAGAGCCUGUCAUCUCUUUUGCUCCCUUUCUCACCAUGUGAUAUGCUGCUCCCCUUCUCUUCUGCCAUGAAGAAAAGCUUCCUGAGGCCUUCACCAGAAGCAGAUGCUGGUGCCGUGCUUCUACAGCCUGCAGAACUGAAGGACUUUACAGCUUCUCUUUCGCAUAUCCAAAUUGCCAGCAUCACCGCUCUUGCACUCCAAGCCAUUAUUAAGUAAAGUAAAGAACACAAACACUGUGAUACUGCUACACUUGAUCUGAUAACCAAGAAGUCUACUAAGUGACUAACAGUUAAUAUUUUUGGACAUGAGGUGACUGCAGUUAACUAAAACCAUGGAAAGCAAACCCAUAGAUAAAGGGAUACUAUGAGCAACUGGGAACCUAAUUCUGACCAAAAAGGAGGAAUUGUUUGGCUAAUUGGAAGUGACAGAAACCUUGGGAGAAAGCAACCGCAUACCAAGGAUAAUUAUAAGAAGAAGAGAAGACAUGGAGAAGAGGAGGGAGUAGUUGUGACCGUGGAGGCAGAGAAUGGAGUAAUGUGAUCAUAAAUCAAGGAAUGCUGACAGCCACUAAAGCUGGAGAAGGCCAAGGACAGAUAUUCAAUCCUCCCGUAGAAGUACAGCCCUGCUAAUGCAUUGAUUUUGGACUUCUGGCCUCAGAACUGUAAGAGAAUAAAUUUCUAUUGUUUUAAGCCUUCAGUUUGUGGUAGUUUGUUACAGAAACCCUGUAAAGUUAAUACACAGAGUUCAAAGAGAAUCCGGUAAUAUCUCUAAAAGACUCGUGUAUUAGUCAGGAUUCUCCAGAGAAGCAAAGCCAAUAGAAUGAUACAUGUUGUUAAAGCAAAUUAAAAUGGAGACCAUGCCUGAAGAAUCUCUGUGCAGAGAAACCCAGUUAGGCCUCAUAAGUUAACCUUACUUGAUUUGCAAACAUAAUCUAAAAGUUAACUGGAGCUAUUUCCGGUAAAUGAAUAUAACACAACUUAAGCUCAAUCAGUCAGAAGCAGCUUUAUAAUUAUGUAGCUAGGGACUUUCCAAGAGGAUGACCAAAGAAGG